rnacentral:tRNA from 1 species
AGGUAGCUCAGUUGGUAGAGCAGGGGACUGAAAAUCCUCGUGUCGGCGGUUCAAUUCCGUCCCUGGCCA